rnacentral:rRNA from 1 species
GACGAACGCUGGCGGCGUGCCUAAUACAUGCAAGUAGAACGCUGAAGGAGGAGCUUGCUUCUCUGGAUGAGUUGCGAACGGGUGAGUAACGCGUAGGUAACCUGCCUGGUAGCGGGGGAUAACUAUUGGAAACGAUAGCUAAUACCGCAUAAGAGUAGAUGUCGCAUGACAUUUGCUUAAAAGGUGCAAUUGCAUCACUACCAGAUGGACCUGCGUUGUAUUAGCUAGUUGGUGAGGUAACGGCUCACCAAGGCAACGAUACAUAGCCGACCUGAGAGGGUGAUCGGCCACACUGGGACUGAGACACGGCCCAGACUCCUACGGGAGGCAGCAGUAGGGAAUCUUCGGCAGUGGACGGAAGUCUGACCGAGCAACGCCGCGUGAGUGAAGAAGGUUUUCGGAUCGUAAAGCUCUGUUGUAAGAGAAGAACGAGUGUGAGAGUGGAAAGUUCACACUGACGGUAUCUUACCAGAAAGGGACGGCUAACUACGUG